ACGCGUUCUCCGGCAAGAGUGGUUUCAGCUGUUUUUUUGGACGUGCUAGUAGUUAACUCAUGGGAUAGAAAUACUACCGGGAGUGGUGAGAAACAAGACCUAGAAAGCUCAGAGAAAAGCAGAUGGAGAGUGGAGCUCUUGUCUGUCUUCUCGGCUCCUAACGGCAGCCCCAGAUUCGCAAUGAAGAGCCCCACGCCACAUGAAAUGUGAGCAAGUCCACCCACCUCAUCUACCCUGGCGGCCAGUUCCUCGUUGGACCAGAUCCCUUCUAUCAUAAGCUCCUCCUCAGCACAUGGUUAUUACUGGAAUGCUGGUGGUUUGGGCAACUCUUUUUCUGGUGAGAUGGUGCAGUGGGAAGGUACAUCCCACUUCCAGCGGGUUGUCCCUCGGUGCUGGCUUGGCUUCUUGGGAAAAGAGUGAAGAAUCAGAGCCUACACGCUGCUGCUGAGCUCCACAGCCUCCAUCUUGCCUCCUCCUGUUUAGACGAUGCGGGUCCUAGUUCUGGGAAGCCCUUCCACCGGAUCGCAGAGCCUCUCUGAACUUCAGGCUCCUCAUCUAUAAAAUGGACCUCCCAAGGUGGUGGUUUAGUGCUGUCAGGGACAUGUUGGCAGGAGGACCGUGUGAGCUGUUGUGUCCACAGUAGCCUGGAAAGGCCCUUCCCGCUGAGGCGUAUGGCCCAAUGAAGUUGGAGGGGUGAAUUCGAAGCAAGACCUCAAGCAGGGGGUGAAGCGGACAUGAUGUAGAGAAGCUGCUGCUGAUGGCAUGUGGACCAGAAAAGGGGGGCCUAAGGAAGAGAGAACAUGAGAAGCAAAAAGGGCAGCCCCUUAACCUUCAACCUCAGAGGCUCGUGUGGGAGAAACCCAGUCAGGUCUGAGGGGAGAUCUCACAGCAAGGGGGUGGGUGGGACUUGACUCAGAUUGCAGUGGGGAGAAAUUUUAAUGACACCCCCUCCCUAGCAAACCAGCGAUGCAAGAUGGUGCCAGCACAAUAUGGUGCCAGUCAGGAGGUGGUUUGGAAUGGCUGAGGAAGGGAGUCUGGGAAGUGGCUUCAUGCAACGCUGCUCGUUCUAGUGAGAAUGCAGCCAGGUAGUCCUAGGUCCCAGGGGCCGCAGAGCCAAGAUCUGCCUCACCAGCUAUGUGCAGGGACCAUGCACUUUGGCUUCACCUCUUCCUGCCCCUACCCCACCAGCAAGCCCCAGGGACCAGAACCAUCUCUGUCCUGCGUGUGUGUGUGUGUGUGUGUGUGUGUGUGUGUGUGUAAGAAUGCAGGGGACUCCACUCAGACCUUCAACCCUCUUGUCCCACCACCGUGAGGCCCAUGAACAUCUCUCUGCACCAGGAAAUUAUCUUGGCUGGGAGAAGGCGGAAGGGUGAGAAAACCUUGGAAUACUGAGCAAUUUUACUCAAAAGAGACUGAGUUAAUCAUACAGAAAUGGAGCUAUGUCUAAGGGGCAAUUUAAUGCUUUCUUUUUGUUUGUUUUCUUUUUGCCCGUCAGUAGUAGGAAUUAUCAGAUCACGAUGAGAAGAGUAUAAGAAAAAGUAAGAACAAUACUGAUUUGACCCAUCUGGGUAGGUGUGUGUGUGUGAUCUUUAGCCCUCCCACAAUUAUGUCUGUACACGUUUGCUGGGGCAACUGUAUAUUUUCAAUUCCAAUCGUCAGACCUUUCCUUGAAGCUCACGUGUGUUUUGAUCUGGCCAGGAAUUGAGAAUCAUAAAAUCAUUAAAUCUGUAUUAAUUACCUAUUGCUGCAUAGUAAGUUAAUCCAAAAUUUAGCUGAAAUAAAUAUGUAUUAUC
ensembl:lncRNA